GAUGAACGCUGGCGGCGUGCCUAAUACAUGCAAGUCGAGCGAACGGACGAGAAGCUUGCUUCUCUGAUGUUAGCGGCGGACGGGUGAGUAACACGUGGAUAACCUACCUAUAAGACUGGGAUAACUUCGGGAAACCGGAGCUAAUACCGGAUAAUAUUUUGAACCGCAUGGUUCAAAAGUGAAAGACGGUCUUGCUGUCACUUAUAGAUGGAUCCGCGCUGCAUUAGCUAGUUGGUAAGGUAGCGGCUUACCAAGGCAACGAUGCAUAGCCGACCUGAGAGGGUGAUCGGCCACACUGGAACUGAGACACGGUCCAGACUCCUACGGGAGGCAGCAGUAGGGAAUCUUCCGCAAAGGGCGAAAGCCUGACGGAGCAACGCCGCGUGAGUGAUAAAGGUCUUCGGAUCGUAAAACUCUGUUAUUAGGGAAGAACAUAUGUGUAAGUAACUGUGCACAUCUUGACGGUACCUAAUCAGAAAGCCACGGCUAACUACGUG
rnacentral:rRNA from 1 species